rnacentral:rRNA from 1 species
UAAUGCCUAGGAAUCUGCCUGGUAGUGGGGGACGAACGUUUCGAAAGGAACGCUAAUACCGCAUACGUCCUACGGGAGAAGCAGGGACCUUCGGGCCUUGCGCUAUCAGAUGAGCCUAGGUCGGAUUAGCUAGUUGGUGAGGUAAUGGCUCACCAAGGCGACGAUCCGUAACUGGUCUGAGAGGAUGAUCAGUCACACUGGAACUGAGACACGGUCCAGACUCCUACGGGAGGCAGCAGCU